ensembl:snRNA U6 U6 spliceosomal RNA
UUGUUUGUUUCAGCAGUAUAUAUACUAAAACUUGAAACGAUACAGAGACUAGUGUGACCCCUGUGUAAGGAUGAUACACAAAUCCAUGAAGUGUUCCAAUCUACA